UGGGGAAUAUUGGACAAUGGGCGCAAGCCUGAUCCAGCCAUGCCGCGUGAGUGAUGAAGGCCUUAGGGUUGUAAAGCUCUUUCGCCGACGAAGAUAAUGACGGUAGUCGGAGAAGAAGCCCCGGCUAACUUCGUGCCAGCAGCCGCGGUAAUACGAAGGGGGCUAGCGUUGUUCGGAAUCACUGGGCGUAAAGCGCACGUAGGCGGAUUGUUAAGUCAGGGGUGAAAGCCUGGAGCUCAACUCCAGAACUGCCCUUGAUACUGGCAAUCUCGAGUCCGGAAGAGGUAAGUGGAACUGCGAGUGUAGAGGUGAAAUUCGUAGAUAUUCGCAAGAACACCAGUGGCGAAGGCGGCUUACUGGUCCGGUACUGACGCUGAGGUGCGAAAAGCGUGGGGAGCAAACAGGAUUAGAUACCCUGGUAGUCCACGCCGUAAACGAUGGAGGCUAGCCGUUGGCGAGCAUGCUCGUCAGUGGCGCAGCUAACGCAUUAAGCCUCCCGCCUGGGGAGUACGGUCGCAAGAUUAAAACUCAAAGGAAUUGACGGGGUCAUAGCUG
rnacentral:rRNA from 1 species